AGGCAGUGACAUGUCAUUACAAGCCGGAAGUCCCCGCCCGAGAGAACAGUCCCCAGGGCUUGCUAAGCAUGCGUGGUAUCAAGAGGCGCACUGAGAUGCUCCUACAGCCUCCUCCCCGCAUGGGACUCCUCACAGCCCCGGCCUCAGCCUCCCCCACAGGGCGGAGGCUCACUCUCACCCACUCUGGGCCAGGAACGCAGCCGGCUUGCCUUUUGUCCAAUUGGGUGCUCUUUCUUUGCCACUGAUACAAAGUGGGGACACACUCCGCUUCCAGUGAUGCCCGGGCCGCAGGAGGCUGGGGGAGAAGUGCCCGCUGCCCGGCCUUCAACCUGAGCUGCCUCCAACACUGCAGAGCCCAGACCCCUGCAGCUGUGAGAAAACACACCCCUGGGUGGAGAUUUAAGAUGCUAAUGAGACACGCAACUUAUGAACAAGCAGGUGCAGGUACUGCGCAUGUGCACCCAGAGGACGCACCCCCCAGAACAUGUUUCCUAGCAACGCCUCUGCCCACCCGCUGAUUAUCUCGGCACCAUGGGAACCACUUCCUUUACUCUCACUGACCGUCCCUGGGACAUAUCUUUAAAAAUUGGAACACCUUUCGGGUGGAUGAGCUAAAAAGGAAAAGACAUCUUAUGUUACACUGUUUGGCCUGGGUACAAGUUCGCUGACAAUGAAAAGUGGUCAGAGAGUGGAACCGUGAGCUUCACUGACAUCUUGCAGCUCUGUCUUUCCGUAGGAAUCAGGGACAAUGGUCCUAAGUACCCUAUAAGCAAGCAUGUGUGGCCUUACAACAGAACCCGGCUCUACGCAAAAGCUGCAGGCUAAAAUCCAGUAAGCUAGAAAGCCCCCCAGACCCAUGCGAAGACCCUCUUUUAUUAAAGGGAAGGGUCCCCAGGCCCCAUGGCCCAACUCCAAGUCCAGAUAGGGGUUCUCAGGGCUCCUUACCUCCUUCUGACUCCCCAGCAUCCCCUGCACUAUCAGAGUCUCCUGUGGAAUCUAAUCCCAUUUCACCCCCUCCUUAUGCUCCUCCUUUGCAGGUACAAUAGGGACUUGCCCGGCUGGAGGUACUCGCACUGGGACAUCACACCAUCCAGGGCCAGAGAAACUGCUCCCUUUAUGGGAGGUCCCAAAUGGAGAGGGGACCAUUAUGGCACAUGUCCCAUAAAUGAUCUAAUUUAUGGACUCACAUCAACAAAUGAUGGAAUCCAGUGGAAGCAAAAAAACAAAAACUCACCUUCUGUAGCAGAGAAAUGGAGAGUAGCCCUAGGAGUCCCCCCAAAACUGGGAGAAACACCGUGUCUGGUUGUGGGAGGAACACCUCGUUCUGUUGUGGGAGAGACGCCUCGGCUGGUUGGCUCCUUAGGGCAGUCACAGCCAUCGCCAUUCCAGUAGAAGAAGCCCAAAACCUGACUUUUUUGGGGUUUUUUUGGUGUUUUGUUUUGUUUUGUUUUGUUUUUUUGAGACGGAGUCUUGCUCUGUCGCCAGGCAGGAGUG